rnacentral:rRNA from 1 species
GUGAACUGCGGGGCAGGUGCCGGGGAAAUACGAAGGGGGCUGCGGUUGCUCGGAAUCACUGGGGUGAAAGGGUGCGUAGGCUGGUCUUUAAGUCAGGGGGGAAAUCCUGGAGCGCAACUCCAGAACUGCCUUUGAUACUGAAGAUCUUGAGUUCGGGAGAGGUGAGUGGAACUGCGAGUGUAGAGGUGAAAUUCGUAGAUAUUCGCAAGAACACCAGUGGCGAAGGCGGCUCACUGGCCCGAUACUGACGCUGAGGCACGAAAGCGUGGGGAGCAAACAGGAUUAGAUACCCGGGUAGUC